GCCAGUUCCUAUAUAUGGGAAAGACAGCCCAUCAGACCUCUUCAGCAUCCACACUAGAGUUGUGCAAUGUUUUCGUGAGUCAUCGUAAGUCAGAUCGUAUUCGUCACAUUUGUAAGAUACUUAUGACGCGAUAUCUGACGCAUGCCCAAAACACAAGAUCCGAAACUCACCCAGUCCUUUUUCGUUUGCAUUUUGUAAACCUCGGAAACCUCCCAACAUGAGUUUCAUGUUCAGCGCAUGGAAGCAAAACAAUGCAAAGCAAAGCCAAAAAGGCUGUCUUUCCUCUUUAAAUGAAUGGCCUCUCACCACGCGGGGAGGGAAGCAGCAGGGAAGAAGCAGAGUCCGCUGGGAAAGGGACUGACAAAGCACAGCAUUCUGGGAAAUGUAGUUUGGAAAUUCUCUAUGCUAGAGAAUGCAAAAAGGCAGUGUCGUAAACUACAUUUCACAGAAUUCUGCUCGGCAUCAGAAAGCCCCAAUCAGGAGAGGGAAGAGAUAGGACCCGAAAUCCAUGUUUUAGUAUGAUUAUUAUUUUAUAUCUUGGUUAUGUUUAGAGUGCUGAAUUUUAAUAUGCGUGUCUGUAUUGCUUUUAUGUUUUUAUUUGGUUUGCUGUUUUGGACUCACGUAUUGAUUGCAUUUAGUGAUUGUGUCUCUCCUCAGUGUUGUGAUCUUCCUUGUGUCGAAAUACACAAAGUCACACCAUUUUUGUUCCUGGGCGAUCAAUGUCAAUCCCUCAUUGGUUCUAUCACCAAAACAUGGGGAAAGUUCGUUUUUGUUAAUUUUUGUUCCGGUUUUAAACUAUGUUUAAUCAUGCUAUUGUCACUAUUUUAUUUUGCUGUGUUACUGUGCAUAAUUGUGUUUUUUAUCUUGAUGUAUUUUUAUCUGCUGAUGACGUUUAUUAUGUAUGUAUUUUGUUUUGUUGUGAUCGCUGAGUCCUUUUGGGGAGAUGGAGGCGGGGUACAAAAAUAAAGUUGUUGUUGUUUUUGUUAUUAUUAUUAUGUUUAUUAAACUGCCCAAACUUUGUGUCAUCCUGCACCACAAUUUGCUCUAGUUUUGCAAUGACUUUCUCAUUGAGUCUCAACCCAUUCAGGGUGAUACAUUUCUAAGGUCUGUUUAAAAUGUCAUUUCAGAAAUAGUUACCUUUGGAACAAUGUAUACUGAAAUAAGUUAUGUAUGGCAAAAAUAGUUAAUUGUUGUGACGUAUCAAAAAGAAAUAUAUAUAUAUAUAUAUAUAUAUAUAGAGAGAGAGAGAGAGAGAGAGAGUCUGUUUUUAUUGUUGUUUUUAUUGUUUUUAUUAUUUUAAAGCUAAUUGUAUUGUUUUAAUCUAUUUCUGUAAACUGCUCCGAGCCAAACUGGGAGUGGCGGUAUACAAGUCCAAUAAAUAAAUAAAUAAAUAAAUAAAUAAAUAAAUUAAAAAACCCAUUCAGGCAGGAAAACAACGUUUCUGGAGUCGAACAACUCCUUUCCAAGUCAGGACCGUACCAUUAAACCAGGAAAUGACACUUUCAAACCAGGAACAGAAAAAAUUAAAAUUUUGUUACAUAAUGAUAUUGGACAAAUGGGUGAAUUUAAAUGAAAGUGGUAAAUGAUGAUUUUUAAAAAAUAUAUAUAUAGACUAUGAUUGCUUGGGGUGUCACAAUAAUAUCUGCUUAAAGGAGCACUUUAGGAAUUGGAAACGGAUCCCUGUCUCUUUAAAGGGGAGCAAAAGGGGGAAUUUCUUUAUUUCUUCCCUGGUUGUAGUGAACUGAAAUCCCCCUAUUUGCACCCCAAUUGAGUUUAUACUUGAGCAGCCCCAGUGAGGCCCACUCCCCCAAGGCAAGAGUGAUGCGCCAUGACAACGACUGUGAUGCGCCAAAGGUUCUGUGGCAGUUGAGGCUGUCAGUUGUGACAGGGAGGAGGAGGAGGAGGAGGAGGAGGAGGAGGAGGAGGAGAGCCAGUCCUGGGGCCAAAGGGUCUGGAAAGGGGCCGCGAGGGGCUUCUCGUGCCCGGAAAGGGAAACAAGAAGGAUUUCCCAUCACCAGGUAAGGGAAGCAGAGGAUGGAGAUCGAACAGGUAAGAGACGGAGGGGAGGAAGGAAGGAGACCCAGGUAAGGGUUGAAGAGGAAGGAGAGUCCAUACUCAGGUGAGGGAUGAAGAGGAAGUAUGUUCAAUCCUCAGGUAAGAGAAGAGGAAGGCCACAUAAGUAUCAGGUAAGGGAUGAAGAGGAGAAAUACCUGAUCAUCAGGUAGGUGAUGAAGAGGAAGGACACCCAAUCCUCAGGUAAGAGAAGAGGAAGGCAAACACAUGAUCAGGUAAGGGAAGAAGAGGAAUUGCCCUCUCUUAUCAUGGAAGUGAUGAAGAGGAAGGACACACAAUCAUCAGGCAAGGAAUGAAGAGGAAAAACACCCAAUAAUCAGGUAGGUGAUGAAGAGGAAGGUCACACAAUCAUCAGGUAAGAGAAGAGGAAGGCAAACACAUGAUCAGGUAAGAGAAGAGGAAGGCCACAUAAGUAUCAGGUAAGGGAUGAAGAGGAGAAAUACCUGAUCAUCAGGUAGGUGAUGAAGAGGAAGGACACCCAAUCCUCAGGUAAGAGAAGAGGAAGGCAAACACAUGAUCAGGUAAGGGAAGAAGAGGAAUUGCCCUCUCUUAUCAUGGAAGUGAUGAGGAGGAAAUAUAUCCAAUAAUAAGGUAAGAGAAGAGGAAGGCUACCAAGUUAGGAGGUAAGGGAUGAAGAGGAAAAACAUACCUAAUAAUCAGGUAGGUGAUGAAGAGGAAGAAUACACAAUUAUCAGGUAAGGGAUGAAGAGGAAAAACAUACCCAAUAAUCAGGUAGGUGAUGAAGAGGAAGAAUACACAAUUAUCAGGUAAGGGAUGAAGAGGAAAAUACCUAAUAAUCAGGCAAGGGCUGAAGAGGAAAAACAACCAAUUAUCAGGUAAGGGAGGAAGAGGAAGUAUAUUCAAUAAUCAGGUAAGAGAAGAGGAAGGCAAACAAAAUGAUCAGGUAAGGGAUGAAGAGGAGAAAUACCUAAUACUCAGGUAGGUGAUGAAGAGGAAAGUCACACAAUCCUCAGGUAAGAGAAGAGGAAGGCAAACACAUGAUCAGCUAAGGGAAGAAGAGGAAUUGCCCUCUCUUAUCAUGGAAGUGAUGAGGAGGAAAUAUAUCCAAUAAUAAGGUAAGAGAAGAGGAAGGCUACCAAGUUAGGAGGUAAGGGAUGAAGAGGAAAAACAUACCCAAUAAUCAGGUAGGUGAUGAAGAGGAAGAAUACACAAUUAUCAGGUAAGGGAUGAAGAGGAAAAUACCUAAUAAUCAGGCAAGGGCUGAAGAGGAAAAACAACCAAUUAUCAGGUAAGGGAGGAAGAGGAAGUAUAUUCAAUAAUCAGGUAAGAGAAGAGGAAGGCAAACAAAAUGAUCAGGUAAGGGAUGAAGAGGAGAAAUACCCAAUAAUCAGGUAGGUGAUGAAGAGGAAAGACACACAUUUAUCAGGUAAGAGAAGAGGAAGGCAAACACAUUACCAGGUAAGAGAAGAGGAAGGCUAUCACAUUAUCAGCUAAGGGAUGAAGAGGAAUUGUACUCUAUUACAAGCUAAAUGAUGAAGAGGAAGGACACCCAACUCUCAGGUAAGGGAAGAGGCAUUUUUCAAUUUCCAAGUAUUUCUAAUCUUCAGAAGCAUCCAAGGAAGUGGAUCUGCAUGAAGAGAAAUCAAGAAGGAAGGAAGAAGUAAAACGAAAGAAAGAAAGAAAGAAAGAAAGAAAGAAAGAAAGAAAGAAAGAAAGAAAGAAAGAAAGAAAGAAAGAGAGAGAGAGAGAGAGAGAGAGAGAGAGGAAGGAAGGAAGGAAGGAAGGAAGGAAGGAAGGAAGGAAGGAAGGAAGGAAGACAGAAAGUGGAUUUGAUUGGGAGGAAACCCAAGGUAGGCAGGAGAAAAGCAGGUGAGCCCUAGAGAAAUGCAGGAUAGAUGUAUAGACCUCAGAGUCAAACGCCUGUGAGUAGCAAGAGAUAGUUGAGAAGAACCAGGUCCAGGUGACUCUGGAAACGCACGGCUGUUGGAAGAAGCCAAGAGGAAUGGUUUUCCUUUUGCACCCAAAGGAAAACUAAGAAUCCGAGUGAGAAGAGACCCCGAAGACCCUCCUGCCUGAGUCCGAAUGCCAGGAACCCUCGCCUAACGCAGCCUUGAGAAGCGGGCGACCCUUUUCCAGGCAGAGAUCUCCAGGGAGAAGGGUCCCUCUUCCAAGGAGACUUUGGCCACCGUGUCGUGUGGAAGGGACAUCCCGGAAAGCGGGUGUCGGGAGGAGAGGCUCAGGCAGGUCAGUCCGGCGGCCCUUUCCGGCCUGCCCAGGGUCGCACUGGCCGCCACUUUUGGGGCCGGGAAGGAAUUUUCCUCCGGGGCGGAUUGGCCGAGGACCCCGGAGGUUUUUCGCCUUCCUCUGGGCAUCCGGCACAGGCCGCCCGUCAGGAAGGGUCACGAGGGGAACCCACUCAGGUCAGCUCAGGAAAGGGUCAGGUCUCAGUCCGGGAAGGUUAAGAGAGCAGGUGGACAGGGAAGCUUUGAAAUAGGGAAUCCAUGUCUCCAAAGGAAGAAGGAAGGAAAGGUCUUCAGGAGAACAAAGAAGAAGGAAACGGAAGGUGGCACAGCAUUGGAGACAACUGACGGCAAACAAGGAAACCGCAAGAAAGCAUUGGCUGACUGGACACAUAGAUAUGGCCAGUCCUGAAGAGAGAGCAUCACCCUCCACUUGCCAGGAAAGGAAAAGAAAAGGAAAAGGAAAAAAGGAAAGGAAAGGAGAAAGGAAAGGAAAAGGAAAGGAAAGGAAAGGAAAGGAAAGGGAGAGGAGAGAGGGGAGGGAAGGUCUUUUCCGGCCUGCCCUGGGUCGCACUGACCGCCACGUUUGGGGUCGGGAAGGAAUUUUCCUCCGGGACAGAUUGGGCCCCAGUCCCGGGGGUUUUUCGCCUUCCUCGGGGCAUCCGGCACAGGCCUCACCAAGUCAGGCUCAGACUCACCCUCAAACAACAACAGGCCCAUCUUGACCUAACCAACAAAUCCAAGCCAAUUGGAAUAAAAUCUAUGAAUCUGGAAA